rnacentral:rRNA from 1 species
AUUGAACGCUGGCGGCAGGCCUAACACAUGCAAGUCGAGCGGAUGAGAGGAGCUUGCUUCUCGAUUCAGCGGCGGACGGGUGAGUAAUGCCUAGGAAUCUGCCUGAUAGUGGGGGACAACGUUUCGAAAGGAACGCUAAUACCGCAUACGUCCUACGGGAGAAAGCAGGGGACCUUCGGGCCUUGCGCUAUCAGAUGAGCCUAGGUCGGAUUAGCUAGUUGGUGAGGUAAUGGCUCACCAAGGCGACGGUCCGUAACUGGUCUGAGAGGAUGAUCGGUCACACUGGAACUGAGACACGGUACAGACUCCUACGGGAGGCAGCAGGGGGGAAUAUUGGACAAUGGGCGAACGCCUGAUCAAGCCAUGCCGCGUGUGUGAAGAAGGUCUUCGGAUUGUAAAGCACUUUAAGUUGGGAGGAAGGGCAGUAAGUUAAUACCUUGCUGUUUUGACGUUACCGACAGAAUAAGCACCGGCUAACUCUGUGCCAGCCGCCGCCGUAAUAC